UCCUUUUACAAAUAAAUACUGAGUUUCAGACGUCAAGCCAUGCAACUCAGCGGAGGAAAGUGACUAAUAGCGGGGGCCAUCUGGCCAGCCACACUUCCACUGGGAACACUGGGAUAUGGGUUAGAGGCAGACAUGCAAAAGACAGACGUGAGAAGAAGGAGAGCUCUCGGCCUGCAUGGUUGUCAUCUGCAUGUGUGCCCUCUUGGUGUAUCAGCUGUCCAAGGUUCCAGGCUCGCCUGCCUGCUGGCAAUGAAGAUGCCUAGACUCGAAUUCCUGGUUCAGAUUCCUUCAUCUGAUGACAACUAAUAAAGGGUGUGGCAGCAAAGGUAAG